GCCUUCGUGGUGUAGUGGUCAGCACGCUCGACGCGUAUUCGAGAGGUCCAUGGUUCGAGUCCCGGCGAGGGCA
rfam:Stegodyphus mimosarum contig58954, whole genome shotgun sequence.